AACGAACGCUGGCGGCAUGCCUAACACAUGCAAGUCGAACGAGACCUUCGGGUCUAGUGGCGCACGGGUGCGUAACGCGUGGGAACCUGCCCUUAGGUUCGGAAUAACUCCCCGAAAGGGGUGCUAAUACCGGAUAAUGUCUUCGGACCAAAGAUUUAUCGCCUUUGGAUGGGCCCGCGUUGGAUUAGCUAGUUGGUAGGGUAAAAGCCUACCAAGGCGACGAUCCAUAGCUGGUCUGAGAGGAUGAUCAGCCACACUGGGACUGAGACACGGCCCAGACUCCAACGGGAGGCAGCAGUGGGGAAUAUUGGACAAUGGGCGAAAGCCUGAUCCAGCAAUGCCGCGGGAGUGAUGAAGGCCUUAGGGUGGUAAAGCUCUUUUACCCGGGAUGAUAAUGACAGUACCGGGAGAAUAAGCUCCGGCUAACUCCGUG
rnacentral:rRNA from 1 species